AUUGAACGCUGGCGGCAGGCUUAACACAUGCAAGUCGAGCGAGCGGCGGACGGGUGAGUAAUGUCUGGGAAACUGCCUGAUGGAGGGGGAUAAAUAAUGGAAACGGUAGCUAAUACCGCAUCCCAUCAGAUGUGCCCAGAUGGGAUUAGCUGGUUGGUGGGGUAAGGGCUCACCAAGGCGACGAUCCCUAGCUGGUAUGAGAGGAGGACCAGCCACACUGUAACUGAGACACGGUCCAGACUCCUACGGGAGGCAGCAGUGGGGAAUAUUGCACAAUGGGCGCAAGCCUGAUGCAGCCAUGCCGCGUGUGUGAAGAAGGCCUUCGGGUUGUAAAGUACUUUCAGCGAGGAGGCGUUACUCGCAGAAGAAGCACCGGCUAACUCCGUGCCAGCAGCCGCGGUAAUAC
rnacentral:rRNA from 1 species